AUUGACCAUUACGAAUCCAUAUCGCGAUGUUGAAAGGGUUCUGAAUUUUGAUACUUUUUAAUUUCAAGAUGAGAAAGAGAGGAUCGCAGCAGACUGAUUUAGGAGACAGAUAUCUUGUUGAAUUAUUUCAGGAUCACGACAUUUCUCUUGGAUAUCUUAGCUGUCAGAAGACCUGUAUCGUUCAGAAAGCAUCACUGUAUGAUGGGGUGAUACAAUGCAAGUGAUAAAUCUGAGCAGUUCAGCUAGUUGACUAUCAAAACUUUCACCCUGUUGGUGAGGUUUCGACUCUCCAUUUUGUAACCCCCUCCCCCGUUUCCUAUUCCCUUCCCUGUUUUUUGUUUUAAAAAAUAUGCUUCUUUACUGUUUCUAAACUUAUUACUUACAUAAUAAUUCAUAAUUGUGG
rnacentral:misc_RNA from 1 species